UUGAAAGGGAAACGAUUGAAGUCAGUCGUGCUGGCGCGAAAUCAACCCGCUCGUUGAGCGAUCACCUGCCGUGGCGAGCCUCAAAACCGCCACGACUCGUGAUCGCUUAACGGUCUGGUGCACUUUUGUGUCGGCUGGUUAACGUCAAUUUCUCACGUCAUAAAAAGGCUGGAGGGAUGUGGCUCCUUCGGGAGUGUUAUAACCUUUGGCGGAAUGUGGUGUUUGGGAUUGAGGAUUGCAACGAAUACCUUUAGGGCUGUUCCACCUGGCCUCUCAUUGGCAUCCUGGCGGCGACAGCUUGCUGACGUCGUUAGGGACCGCCUUCGAACAGGCUAGAGUGUGAGCAAAUUCGUUAAGGAUGUUGACGUA
rnacentral:rRNA from 1 species